CCUGGCUCAGGAUGACGCUGGCGGCGUGCUUAACACAUGCAAGUCGAACGAAGAUAUGCAGAGAUGAGAUUUUCGGUCAAAUCAAGUGUAUCUUUAGUGGCGGACGGGUGAGUAACGCGUGGGUAACCUGCCAUAUACAGGGGGAUAACACUUAGAAAUAGGUGCUAAUACCGCAUAAGCGCACAUGGCCGCAUGGCCAGGUGUGAAAAACUCCGGUGGUAUAUGAUGGACCCGCGUCUGAUUAGCUAGUUGGUGAGGUAACGGCCCACCAAGGCGACGAUCAGUAGCCGGCCUGAGAGGGUGGACGGCCACAUUGGGACUGAGACACGGCCCAAACUCCUACGGGAGGCAGCAGUGGGGGAUAUUGGACAAUGGGGGGAACCCUGAUCCAGCGACGCCGCGUGAGUGAAGAAGUAUCUCGGCAUGUAAAGCUCUAUCAGCAGGGAAGAAAGAAAUGACGGUACCUGAGUAAGAAGCCCCGGCUAACUACGUG
rnacentral:rRNA from 1 species